rnacentral:rRNA from 1 species
AGAGUUUGAUCCUGGCUCAGAAUGAACGCUGGCGGCGUGCCUAACACAUGCAAGUCGUACGAGAAAUCCCGAGCUUGCUUGGGAGAGUAAAGUGGCGCACGGGUGAGUAACGCGUGGGUAACCCACCCAUUCGAAUCUGGGAUAACUCCGCGAAAGCGGUGCUAAUACCGGAUAAGACCACAGCCGUUUCGGCGGCAGAGGUAAAAGCUGACCUCUCCAUGGAAGUUAGCGUUCGAGGACGGGCCCGCGUCCUAUCAGCUCUUGUUGGUGGGGUAAUGGCCUACCAAGGCAGCGACGGGUAGCUGGUCUGAGAGGAUGAUCAGCCACACUGGAACUGGAACACGGUCCAGACUCCUACGGGAGGCAGCAGUGAGGAAUUUUGCGCAAUGGGGGGGAAACCCUGACGCAGCAAUGCCGCGUGGGUGAAGAAGGCUUUCGGGUCGUAAACCCCUUUCAGGAGGGAAGAAAUUGACGGUACCUCCAAAAGAAGCACCGGCCAACUACGUGCCAGCAGCCGCGG